rnacentral:rRNA from 1 species
ACUCAAAUGAAUUGACGGGGACCCGCACAAGCAGCGGAGCAUGUGGUUUAAUUCGACGCAACGCGAAGAACCUUACCUGGGCUUGACAUGUCUCUGACCGCUCUGGAAACAGGGCUUCCCUUCGGGGCAGAGUCACAGGUGGUGCAUGGCUGUCGUCAGCUCGUGUCGUGAGAUGUUGGGUUAAGUCCCGCAACGAGCGCAACCCUCGUCGCAUGUUGCCAGCAUUUAGUUGGGGACUCAUGUGAGACUGCCGGUGACAAACCGGAGGAAGGUGGGGAUGACGUCAAGUCAUCAUGCCCCUUAUGUCCAGGGCUACACACGUGCUACAUUGGCCGGUACAGAGGGCUGCGAUACCGCGAGGUGGAGCGAAUCUCUUAAAGCCGGUCUCGGUUCGGAUUGCAGGCUGAAACCCGCCUGCAUGAAGGCGGAGUUGCUAGUAAUCGCGGAUCAGCAACGCCGCGGUGAAUACGUUCCCGGGUCUUGCACACACCGCCCGU